rnacentral:lncRNA from 1 species
UUAUUUUUAAAAAUUUUUAUUUGGCAAAAAAAAAUUUUUGUGUCAAUUUAGCAUCGUGUUGGACAAAAAUAAGAAAGAUGAUGAAUUGUUCACUGUCUUUAAAAAAUAAUAUAUUAUUUUUCACUUUCAAAUUAUUUUCUUUUUUUGUAUGAGCUGUAAAUCUGUACGAAGUUAUUAGAAUUGUACUGUCGAUUAUUAAAAUUUUUAUUUAUUCACUGUCUUUUAGUAAUUAAAGAGAAUUAACGAUUCAUCAUCUUCUAAUUAUUCCUUCAUCUUACCUCUAGAUUAAAUAAAAUAGAAUUAUUCGGCCAAAUAAAAUUGUGUAAAUUAUAAAUUUUUAAAAGUGCACAAAUAUCUUUGUCCUUUGAUAAUCUAGGACAGCAUCUGAGAGGAUAAUUCGUGUCAAGGACCUUUUCUAAAAAAAAAAAAUUUAUAAAAAAAAUUUAUUGACUAAAUUCUUCUUUAAAAAUUUUAUUUGGCCAAAUAAUUUUCUUUGUGUCAAUCUGCCGUCAUGUUAGAAAAAAAUAAGAAAGAUGGUAAAUUAUUCACCAUCUUUAGAAAUUUUAAAUUAUUCUCUUUUUUUUGCAUGAGCCGUAAGAAUCUUUAUAAAGUUGUUAGGAUUGUACUGCAAAUUACUCUUUUAAUAAUUAAGGACAAUGAAUGAUUCAUCGUCUUUUAAUUAUUCUUUCAUAGAACUAUGGGAUCAAACAAAACUUUAUAAAUUAUAAAUUUUUAAAAAGUUAUAUUGAAAAAUAAAAAAAAUCCACGUGGCAUUUGUAGAAUGGAGUUAGUUACUUGGACACUGACAUGAAGACCUUGUUUGGAUGUUUCACACAAUUAAAUCAUCCUACUUUUUUGAGUUAAGAAUAUUCUGUUGUGAUUAUAAGAUAAUUUUUUAAUUUUUGCUCUCGGAAAUUUUUAUUUUUUAUGAUUUAGUACUAUAAUAUAUUUUACCCACGAAAUAAUUUAUUAUUUUUUAAAAAAUAACGUUAAAAAUUAAAUAUGAUAUCACAUACUAAACAUUUGAUAUAAUUACUCAUCAACCAAAUAUUAUAAAUUUCUGCCAAACAUCACCAACCCACAUUUGGACUGGGCAAGAUUUUUUUUAUAUAUAUAUAUUUUUUAGAAAAGACCAGUAUGGUACUCUCUUUAUUUAUUAUUAUUUGUUAAAAAUAAAUUUAGAUAAAAAUGUAAAGUAAUUAAAUUUUAAAUUUAAAAUUUUACGUAGUAUCCAAAUGUAAAUUUUUUUUGAUACUUGCGCUAGGAAUGGCGGAUAUUCA